rnacentral:pre_miRNA from 1 species
UCUACAUGAAUCUAUGUUUGGAACUACAUUUGACCAUCCAUUUUAUUUAAAAAGGUUUUAUGAUUAUUGUUAUUAGAUGAUAAAAUAUGAAUAGUACUUUAUGCGUGACUAUUUUUACAAACAUUUUAAAUAAAAUUUUUUAAAAAAAUAAGCGGUCAAACGUUUGACAUGAAAAACCACAGAUACAGUUCUA